rnacentral:rRNA from 1 species
UGACGUUACCAACAGAAUAAGCACCGGCUAACUCCGUGCCAGCAGCCGCGGUAAUACGGAGGGUGCAAGCGUUAAUCGGAAUUACUGGGCGUAAAGCGCGCGUAGGCGGUUUGUUAAGUCAGAUGUGAAAUCCCCGGGCUCAACCUGGGAAUGGCAUUUGAGACUGGCAGGCUAGAGUAUGGUAGAGGUGAGUGGAAUUUCAGGUGUAGCGGUGAAAUGCGUAGAGAUCUGAAGGAACAUCAGUGGCGAAGGCGACUCACUGGGCCAUUACUGACGCUGAGGUGCGAAAGCGUGGGUAGCAAACAGGAUUAGAUACCCUGGUAGUCCACGCCCUAAACGAUGUCAACUAGGUGUAUGGAGAAUUUAUUCUUUGUGUAUCGAAGCUAACGCGAUAAGUUGACCGCCUGGGGAGUACGGUCGCAAGACUAAAA